rnacentral:rRNA from 1 species
UACGUAGGGUGCGAGCGUUAAUCGGAAUUACUGGGCGUAAAGCGUGCGCAGGCGGUUAUGUAAGACAGAUGUGAAAUCCCCGGGCUCAACCUGGGAACUGCAUUUGUGACUGCAUAGCUAGAGUACGAUAGAGGGGGAUGGAAUUCCGCGUGUAGCAGUGAAAUGCGUAGAUAUGCGGAGGAACACCGAUGGCGAAGGCAAUCCCCUGGGCCUGCACUGACGCUCAUGCACGAAAGCGUGGGGAGCAAACAGG